rnacentral:rRNA from 1 species
UGAUGCAGCACGCCGCGUGAGGGAUGACGGCCUUCGGGUUGUAAACCUCUUUUAGCAGGGAAGAAGCGAGAGUGACGGUACCUGCAGAAAAAGCACCGGCUAACUACGUGCCAGCAGCCGCGGUAAUACGUAGGGUGCAAGCGUUAUCCGGAAUUAUUGGGCGUAAAGAGCUCGUAGGCGGUUUGUCGCGUCUGCCGUGAAAUCCUCAGGCUCAACCUGAGGCUUGCGGUGGGUACGGGCAGACUUGAGUGCGGUAGGGGAGAUUGGAAUUCCUGGUGUAGCGGUGGAAUGCGCAGAUAUCAGGAGGAACACCGAUGGCGAAGGCAGAUCUCUGGGCCGUAACUGACGCUGAGGAGCGAAAGGGUGGGGAGCAAACA